CCAAUCAGAAUUCAAUACUCUCUCUCCCCCAUUCACUCUCUCACUCACGCUCUCCCUCUUCAACUCUCGACAUCUCUCUCUCACUUUCUCCUUCUCCAUUUUCUUUUCUUCUUCUCCAUAUUCCUCUGAAACCCUAAGCCACACAUCACCUUCUUCUUCUUCUUCUCCCAUGGCAGCCGCCACCCAAGGCCAAGCCGCCACCACCGCGAGCCUUCUCCUCUCCUCACGCGAGCCAGAGCACCACCACCUUCUCCCUCACGAACCAGCACCAUCAAGUCAUCAUCUUCCUCUUUCCCUUACCUCUAGUUCAGAUACGAGCACACCACCAACGCCCAACACCAUGAACGACGCCGCCACGGCCACCAUGGAGGCGAAAACCAGAGAGAAAACGAAACCCUAGCCGCCACCUUCAAAGUCCGAUCUUCGGCGAACCUUUUCGUUUUUGGAAAAACCAACCACACCAUGGAACUCCCCUCGACGUGCGCUGCAAAACUCCUAAAGAAAUUUCGGAUUCCGACAACCUUCGCCGGAAGCCGCCGCCAACCACCGUCUUCUCCGGCGAGGGCUCGCUGGGGGACUCACUGAGCUCAGAACCGUGGAGCUCUCCUUCCCCUCUUGUCAAAUUGAUAAUCAAUUUUUGCUUGAUGAUCACACAUGGGGAGGGCAGCCAUGACCAGCAAAGGAGAGCCCUCCUACUGCCUUCAACUUUGAUAGGGUUGGCAUUCUAAAUUGCAUCGAAUGAUUACUAGAGUCUUUAUGCUUCUCUAAGUCUUAAAUCAUUGUCAUUUUUGUUGUUCAAGAGCCUUGUAAAAUUAAUGAAGGAAUAUAGAAUAUUGUAUGUGUGUGUGGUGUGAGUGAUAGUGUUAUGGUUGUUGAUUUCUGAGGGCAUGAGGGUUCAGCUCUUAGUGUGCUUGAAAAGCUUUUGCGAAAACUCACAUAAAACUGUUGUUGUUUUCAAAAGUAGUAGCCGCUGUUCUGUCAAAAUCGUGUGUUUAGGUUCAGAUUUUGGAACUGUGUUCUUCAUAAAAGUUGUAGCUUUUUCCGUUAGCAAACUUUUGCCGCUGGUUUCAUGUCAUUCCGAUUUUUCUAGCUCAGGUUAUACGCAUUUUAGUGAGCACGGGUUAAGCUGUCCCGUUUCUCACGAACUGCUAUAGUAUUCGAUGUUUCCUGAAUUUUGUACUUUGAAUUUAGACUUGAAAAUUUAUGAGGAUUUACAAAACCUGUAGAUGAUGUCAAGAUAAAAAUAUUAGAUUUUUCGGAGUUUAAUUGACGUAUUUAAAAAUUAUCCAAAGUCGUUGUACAAUUUAUAAUCGUUUGACAAAAUCACUUAUUUAAAGCGAAAAGCGUUGUUUAUGGAAAAGUUUGAGAAAUCCUUUCAUUUUAAAAUUAUAUUACAAUGUUUGGAGUAGGAAAACAUCUUUUGAAGCUUACUUACGUACGUUGUUUAAUUGUUAUGAAAAUCAAGAACGUUUGAGCCUUUAUGCACAUUAUUCGUUAAAGAGUGAUUGCGAAAAAUUUUGUAAGUCAAACGAGUUUUUGGAGUGUUAUAGAAUAAGUGUUCGAAUGUUACCUUGUUGUGAAUGGAUGCUUAGGAAUAACAAGAUUGGAUAGAGAUAGAACAAAUAAGUUUGGAUUUCCGAGUGAGGAAUUAGACUUUGAAAGGUAGUAAUUAGAAUGGAUUAAGUUGUGAUGGAAAUCUUAAUGUUGGAAGAUGACUUAGGAUUGAAUCUUGAAUUCCAAGAAGUUUAUGAGCUUUAUUGUAAAUACUUGAUUUUAAAAGGUCUAGAUUUGAAACUUUGGAAGUUCAAGGACUUAGAAGUAAUUAAGGGAUUGAUUGAGGACUAGAAGUUAUUUCUUAGAGAUUGAGGACUUAUCUAUAAGUUUGGGAUUUUUGUAGAACCAAAGUGGAGUUUCGAAGAGACUAGGGUUUUGUGUCUAAUGAGAUAUCGCGAGUUUAAGUUUAAGAGAAAUUAUUCGAUCGUUUUGAAGGAGCUUAUGAGUCUUGAAUAAGUACAUGAUCAUUAUAAAAAAAUGAGUUGGUUGUCUUGGAAGUUAACUAUGGUUUAUGGAUUUCUUUAUAAGAAUUAGUGAAUUUGAUAAGAAUUGAUAAGUGAUAAGCGCAUAAUUGAUGCACUUUACGUGUGUCUUUCUAAGCUUCAUUAUAUACAUUUUUGUGCUUAAUUGUUAUGACUUAGCCAUGUUUUGACCAUUAGUGUUUAUUUGGAUUAUUCAUGGAAAAGAGCUUAAUUCUACACUUUUAGUUUCUAUGACUGUUUUGCUAGAACAGAUUGAAUAUGGAGCUAGAAUUAUCGAAAUAAGGCCCAUAAUAUGUCGUUGGAAAGCUAACGCGAAGCCCUACAACUUUCAUGUUCAGCACAAUUGAAGAACAAGCCUUUAACAUGGUCAAAAUGGCCUUGCAAAGUUGCUGUCGCUAAUCCUGCGAGUCUGGAACAGUCUGCACUAAAAUGAUCAUAUCUUGGGCUACAGAAAUCCGAAUCAGGAUCCGAUUGAAGGCCCACGAAGCUGGCUUAAAGACCUACAACUAUUAUGUUUACCUCAGUUGAAGAUUCAAACUUAUUGUGGGACCCGCGAAUGCCUGAUUGUUCAGCAGCUUACUCCUUUAUGUGGGCCCGAUUUUGUGAAGAUUUAGAAAAGAUUUAGAUAACAAAGAUUGUUACUUGACGAACAAGUUUAUUUAUUAGUAUAAAUAAGUGAGUUUAGGCUUUUGUUAGACCUCACCACCAUCUCACCAUCACCUCCUCCACCUUCUCCUAAUAUUUCUCUCCAUCUUUUCUAGUAUGAGUUGCUAAACUCCCUAGUUAGUCUUAGGAUUUUUAAUAUUCUUGUGUUUGCAAACUUGAGGUUCUGUUCUUAAUACAAAUUCCUUCUUUAUUAAUUCUCUUCAUCUCUA